rnacentral:rRNA from 2 species
AUGGCUCAGGACGAACCGCUGGCGGCGUGCUUAAUACAUGCAAGUCGAACGAACUCUGGUAUUGAUUGGUGCUUGCAUCAUGAUUUACAUUUGAGUGAGUGGCGAACUGGUGAGUAACACGUGGGAAACCUGCCCAGAAGCGGGGGAUAACACCUGGAAACAGAUGCUAAUACCGCAUAACAACUUGGACCGCAUGGUCCGAGCUUGAAAGAUGGCUUCGGCUAUCACUUUUGGAUGGUCCCGCGGCGUAUUAGCUAGAUGGUGAGGUAACGGCUCACCAUGGCAAUGAUACGUAGCCGACCUGAGAGGGUAAUCGGCCACAUUGGGACUGAGACACGGCCCAAACUCCUACGGGAGGCAGCAGUAGGGAAUCUUCCACAAUGGACGAAAGUCUGAUGGAGCAACGCCGCGUGAGUGAAGAAGGGUUUCGGCUCGUAAAACUCUGUUGUUAAAGAAGAACAUAUCUGAGAGUAACUGUUCAGGUAUUGACGGUAUUUAACCAGAAAGCCACGGCUAACUACGUGCCAGCAGCCGCGGUAAUACGUAGGUGGCAAGCGUUGUCCGGAUUUAUUGGGCGUAAAGCGAGCGCAGGCGGUUUUUUAAGUCUGAUGUGAAAGCCUUCGGCUCAACCGAAGAAGUGCAUCGGAAACUGGGAAACUUGAGUGCAGA